GGUGGAAAUGUCAAGUCUCCCCCAGUCCUUCCCCACCCCAGCUCCCCACAUGCCACCCAGGCUCUCCCAGAUGUUUCAGAUUCCAAGAAUGUUUGCAUUGAUUAAGCAUUCUAUUUUUUGCUUGUUUCUCCAUCCCAGACCUUGAAAAUGUUAUCUUUAUUUUUAUUGCUUGAGAUCAGGGCUAUUUCUGGAAGGUGUGGGGUUCAGGGGAAAAAUCCCUGUUUUUUUCUUUUACUUUUUUGUUGCUUUUCUCUCCUUGGUUCUAUUGAAAACAAAACAGGUGGAAGCUAAAGUAACUUUAAGGGCAGCUGUUGUGGGUGAAGGCUACCUAAAGUCUACUUUUGAAGGGUUCAGCUGGAAUGUGCCAUGAGUGAUGGGCAAAGAAGAGCUGAGGAUGGGGCUUGCUGUGUGAAGUGAUCUUUCAUCUUUGCAAGAAGCAGAAAGAAAAGCCAGGAUUAUUAAGGGGCCGACUGUCUAUCAUCCUCCUGCUUUACAAACUGGUGCCCACCCAGCUCUGCCAGCUGAGGAAGAGCCAGCCACGCCUCAAGUCAUCACAGAAGCCAGAACCCCCAUUCCUGCUUCCAAGAAGAUGCCCAAGUGACCAGCAAGCCAUUGGAGUGGUCCUGCCAUUUCUCAGAUCUGUCUGUUGUGAUAAGCCGCUCAACCUCCCUGGCUUCAGUUUCUACAUUUCAGAACCCCCCUGCUUUAAAUUCCACAAAGCAGUGCUUGGAAAGAGGGAGUGCUCCACAGUUGGAAAUGAUUUUUUUUAUUUCUAAAAACUAAUACAAUCACUUGUGUGUCUUUGUGCACAGUCUUGACACUUCCGAAAUCUUAAAUGGAAAGAAACUUCCUGAAGGUGUGUUCAUUUAUUUAAGAAGUAAAAUGUCUUUGAAUUCCCUUUGGUCGCAUUUUGCUUGUGGUUCAUUUGCUUAUUA
rnacentral:lncRNA from 1 species